rnacentral:misc_RNA from 1 species
GAAAUGCGAUAUGCAAUGCGAAUUGCAGAACUCCGCGAGUCAUCAGAUUUUCGAACGCAACUGGCGCUGAGAGGAUAUCCUCUUAGCAUGUUUGUUUCAGUGUGUUGUUCACUUCAUAAAACUUAAUGCGAUUGAAGGAAACUUGUUUCUUUCUCUCGUUAAAUAGGAAAGUAUAAUGAUUCUCAAACUUCCAACGAAGCGGUCACUUUUAGAAGUGAUUUCGUUCGGAAAAUUUGCUUAUCAAUAAUUUAUACCAAAAACUUCUCUACCUAUGACAUCUGAAAUCAAGCAAGAUUACCCGCUGAACUUAA